AAAUUGAAGAGUUUGAUCAUGGCUCAGAUUGAACGCUGGCGGCAGGCCUAACACAUGCAAGUCGAACGGUAACAGGAAGCAGCUUGCUGCUUUGCUGACGAGUG
rnacentral:rRNA from 4 species